CAGACCCCCUUUCAAGCUAACUUUGAAACAUAAUCAAUACUACCUGAGGGAAGGUUUUCAAGCAGACACAAAUAGAAUCACAUACCCAUUAGUCCCCAUUUCACCAUCCAGAUCCCGGGAAGGUUGAAAUCAAAGCAUACCACGUUUGCAAUAUCCCUAAAGUUUUCAGCUUGGUUCUCUUGUUUCUCAGCCCUGGGUCCAAAAUUGCUCCCCUCUCUUUCAUCCUGGAGACGGAAGUUCUCACCGGCAGUGCCAGUCCCAGCAUCCAUUCUCACUGAAAACAAAGACUGGACGUCCUUUCGGAUGGCUUCUGGACCACCUUCUGGAUGAAGCCUGGCCUGCGAGGGAAGCCUGGAUCCUGGGUGCCAGAGGGAAGCUGGUGCCGGCAGCCAGAGGAAGGAGGGCCUGCUUCUUGCAUGAAUUGCGUGCAUCAGGCCUCUAGUAGAAAUAUAAAUAACAAGUCAGUAAAUAAUGAACAAAUAAACAAACAAA